GAUGAACGCUGGCGGCGUGCCUAAUACAUGCAAGUCGAGCGAACGGACGAGAAGCUUGCUUCGCUGAUGUUAGCGGCGGACGGGUGAGUAACACGUGGAUAACCUACCUAUAAGACUGGGAUAACGUCGGGAAACCGGAGCUAAUACCGGAUAAUAUUUUGAACCGCAUUGUUCAAAAGUGAAAGACGGUCUUGCUGUCACUUAUAGAUGGAUCCGCGCUGCAUUAGCUAGUUGGCAAGGUAACGGCUUACCAAGGCAACGAUGCAUAGCCGACCUGAGAGGGUGAUCGGCCACACUGGAACUGAGACACGGUUCAGACUCCUACGGGGGGCAGCAGUAGGGAAUCUUCAGCAAUGGGCGAAAGCCUGAAGGAGCAACGCCGCGUGAGUGAUGAAGGUCUUCGGAUCGUAAAACUCUGUUAUUAGGGAAGACCAUAUGUGUAAGUAACUGUGCUCAUCUUGACGGUACCUAAUCAGAAAGCCACGGCUAACUACGUG
rnacentral:rRNA from 1 species